UUAACUCGACUAUCACUAGUGUUGACUAUAUUCAUUCCCUCUCACUUUAUCACAUCUCUGUAUCUUAACUCUAUCUGCUAUUAUAAGCACUAUGCUGGCUGUGUGUCUGCCUUUGAGCACAGGUAAGAACUCGUUCGAUGCCCAGCUGUGAGAGCGGAAAGCGACGCUGGAAACAUCCCGGGCAGACGCUCACUCGUCCCAGGUAAAUUCCCGGGUUGAAUCUAACGCUCCCAGCACCUCAACUCCGCGUGUUUCUCUGCUCAGGUCCAGCGCACCUACAACACGGCCCGCCCAGGUAUCGUUCACUCCGGCACCGGUGCACCACGGACCCUGGAUGCUGCAGCAGCGGAAGACACGAGCCAAGCCCCGGUCGAAGACAUCUCCCCCGCUUCGCCACUCUCUGCAAAACGGAACGUCAUACUGUGAUUCUUGGAGAUUCCAUCGUCCGGCAUGUCCGCGCUACCGGAGACAAAGUAUUGGGUGACCUACGUUCCUGUGGUGGUGAACAUGACUGCGAGUUCUCCAGAAGAACAAAUGCUGCCUGACUUUAAAAUCCCACCCCUGUCUGGCCUGCACUUCCUCCCUCACUCUGCCCUGUCUUUCCCUCCUGCAUUGCCUGAGUUUCUCU